UUUUCUUUUCAAUUUUUAAGUUACUAUUAUCAAAACUACGUCAUUUUGAUUCUAUUUAAAACACAACAUAAAACCCUAGCCUACACGUUUCUCAUUCAGCCGCCCCUCCCCAUUUCCCCUAAUCCUUUUCAUUUUCUCUCUCUCUCUCUCUCACUUCUUAGCUUGUAGCAGCGACAUCUCCGGCGAGCUACAGAGGCUCAUAAGCUUGCUGCCGGCGUCGGAGGACAGCAAUGGCCAGUCGGGCGAGGUUCACCCUAAGCCUUGCAUGGGUUUUUUGCAGAGAGAGAAUUUCUCUACCGAGAUAAUUGAGAGCAUUUCGCCUGAGGAUCUUCAGCCGAUGGUGAAGAUCUGCAUAGACGAGCUGCAAUCGUUGUCGAUUGCGAUGAAGCGAUCUGCCGUGGCAAAGCUCAGGGUUUUGGGUAAGAACCGGGCUGAUAACCAAGCUCUAAUCGACGAGUCCAGUGCCGUUCCAGCUUUGAUUCCGCUUCUCCGGUGUGGUGAUCUGUGUUUUUUUUAUCCUUUAUUUUGGGAAUUUUUCAUGGGUAUGUUUGUAUGUUUUGUUUUCAGCUAUAUAGUUUCAGUUUAGUAUCGACAAGAUUUUAUUUUUAGAGUAUUCCAUGUUUUGCUGAUUGAUCUUUGAACAUUUUCUAUUCGUUGAUAAGAUUCUUUUGAAUUUAUUUAUCUCACUCACUCUUCUUUCGGAUUAAACAGAGGUUUUAUGGUUUUGCAAUAUGCUUUGUUGCUGGUUUGACUUGUACACUCUUAGCAAGUUUUGAACAUUUAGUUAUUAAGUUUAGAUUUCUUUCUGGUUAGUUACUACUGAUUAUGUUGAAUUAUAUAUGUGCUUUUAGUGGAAAGUUAAUGGAGGUGACUUCAUUUGGAUAAAUAGAAAGGUGGCUUAUUAGGUUUUCGUUAAGAUGUGUAUCUCUGCUAAGAACCUUGACAACUAGUAAAUGUAUAUUGAAUAAAGGAAUUAUUACCUAUAUAAAAAAAAAAGGGAAUUAUUGGCAGACUAUUGAAUCUAUGAAGUUUUUCUAGUUAGAUGCAUUUGGAUGAACCAGAUUUUGCAGAAAAGGGUAAUUUCCUUUCCAUCUAUCCCAAUUGCUCCAAUUCCCCAAAUAUGUGACACUUUUGUUCGUAAAAACUAAAUUUAGUGCCCCAAAAAUUUAUUUUAUUUAUUUAUUUCUUCCUUUGGUUUGCCUUUAUAUAAGCUGAGCAUCAAGGGCAAUGGGUUGAAAUCUUAAUUAGGAUUUUCUCGGGAGAAAGUCAAGAAAAGUAGGGCUGUAGCAUCUCAAGAGCUCAUUGUUUAAUAAAUAAACUUAGUUUCAUGCCUUCACAUAACUAGAGUCUAUACUUUGGAAACUUUAUGCAUCAAGAUACUUAAAAAAAAAAAAAAAUCAUUAUAAAUUGCACGAAAGGAAAAUGGAUCUCUCAAUUAGAAUGAGCUCAUAGUCAUGACUAAUUGAUCUUAAAAAGCAUGCUCAACCAUGCUUUGUUUGCUAACUGGUUCUCUCUAUCAAGGAUUUCAUUGAAGAUUCUGCUGUUGCUCAUAUUUUUAUUUAUUUUUCUAUUGAUAAUGUGAUCUCCCAUUUUAAAAUUUUACCCCAAACUCAACACCAAUAAUAAGAAUUUGACUCAUCAAAAUCAAAUUCUCCACGACAGUGGCAGUAUAAGGAUAAUGGCUUCCUCCUCCGCCUCUGUGGCCGAACAAGUAAGGGCCCCUCCUGCUCUUCCUUUGCCCACUCCCCCUGUUGGCAAGGAAAAUCUCUCUCUCCCUCUCAUUGAUUUGUGCUUUUUUCUUUUUCUUAUUUUAUUUAUAUAUAAAUGGUGUGCAGUUUAUGGUUGUGUUGUGCCAAAUAACCGUAACUCCCGAUAAGGAGAGGAACAUCGCCCAUGCUCGUAGCAAGAUCCAGGAGGCUGCUGCUAAGGGCGCCAAGCUUGUUCUCUUGCCCCAUGUACUGGAGAGGGGAAAGCCUCAUGAAAGAAGCCAGAUUAUAAGCAAGUUGUCAGGACAUUUUGUACAACUGAGCUAGCAUAAAUUUGCAUCAAACGUUAUUAAGAAAUGUUUGGAGUAUGGUGGCCCCACUGGACGAGAACUAUUAAUUGGGGAGAUUUUUGGGCAUAGUGAAGGAACUGAUAAUUUAUUGGCCGAAGGUUUCAUCGGCACUUUUCUUCAAUUACAACACCUCGAUGGGACUGCCAUAUCGGGUUUUGGUAGAUACCAACUUCGUCAAUUUCUCUAUCCAGAAUAAACUGGACUUGGAGAAGGGAAUGAUGAACUGCCUAUAUGCAAAAUGUGAGUUUAGAAUCACUAGUUUCUUCAAUUUAAUGUGAAUAUUAAUUUGCUGCAAGAAUUGUUGUGCCAUGUUGAUGAGGUAUCCUAAGUUCAACAUAGUUGUUAAUGUGGUUUUAUAACAAGCAUUGAGUGCCAUGUAUCAUUGGCAAACACUUAAAUAGGUGUUGGUUGCUUAAUGAUAUUUAUCAAAAUAUUACUCUUGGUUGUGUGGAUGUCCAUGAGAAUGCUUAAGGAAUAAAAUGAGGAUCUUUUUUUAAAUUAU